rnacentral:rRNA from 1 species
UACCAGCACCCCGAGUGGUCGGGACGAUUAUUGGGCCUAAAGCCUCCGUAGCCGGUCCUACAAGUCUUCCGUUAAAUCCACCUGCUCAACAGAUGGGCUGCGGAAGAUACUAUAGGGCUAGGAGGCGGGAGAGGCAAGCGGUACUCAGUGGGUAGGGGUAAAAUCCUCUGAUCCAUUGAAGACCACCAGUGGCGAAGGCGGCUCACUGGUCCGGUACUGACGCUGAGGUGCGAAAGCGUGGGGAGCAAACAGG